rnacentral:rRNA from 1 species
UUGAACGCUGGCGGCAUGCUUUACACAUGCAAGUCGAACGGCAGCGCGGGCUUCGGCCUGGCGGCGAGUGGCGAACGGGUGAGUAAUGCAUCGGAACGUGCCCAGUAGUGGGGGAUAGCCCGGCGAAAGCCGGAUUAAUACCGCAUACGACCUGAGGGUGAAAGCGGGGGACCGAAAGGCCUCGCGCUCUUGGAGCGGCCGAUGUCGGAUUAGCUAGUUGGUGGGGUAAAGGCUUACCAAGGCGACGAUCCGUAGCUGGUCUGAGAGGACGACCAGCCACACUGGGACUGAGACACGGCCCAGACUCCUACGGGAGGCAGCAGUGGGGAAUUUUGGACAAUGGGGGCAACCCUGAUCCAGCCAUGCCGCGUGCGGGAAGAAGGCCUUCGGGUUGUAAACCGCUUUUGUUCGGGAAGAAAUCCUCUGGGCUAAUACCCCGGGGGGAUGACGGUACCGGAAGAAUAAGCACCGGCUAACUACGUG